UCCCAGACUCCUACGGGAGGCAGCAGUGGGGAAUUUUGGACAAUGGGCGCAAGCCUGAUCCAGCUAUUCCGCGUGUGGGAUGACGGCCCUCGGGUUGUAAACCACUUUAGUAGAGAACGAAAAGGAGCUAUCGAAUAAAUAGCUCUGCUGACGGUACUCUAAGAAUAAGCAUCGGCUAACUCCGUGCCAGCAGCCGCGGUAAUACGGGGGAUGCAAGCGUUAUCCGGAUUUAUUGGGUUUAAAGGGUGCGUAGGCUGUGAGGUAAGUCAGCGGUGAAAUGCCCCCGCUCAACGGGGUGAAGUGCCAUUGAUACUGCCUUGCUGGAAUGCGGAUGCCGUGGGAGGAAUGUGUGGUGUAGCGGUGAAAUGCAUAGAUAUCACACAGAACACCGAUUGCGAAGGCAUCUCACGAAUCCGCGAUUGACGCUGAUGCACGAAAGCGUGGGUAUCAAACAGGAUUAGAUACCCUUGUA
rnacentral:rRNA from 1 species